rnacentral:rRNA from 1 species
UACGUAGGGUGCGAGCGUUAAUCGGAAUUACUGGGCGUAAAGCGUGCGCAGGCGGUUCGUUGUGUCGGCGGUGAAAGCCCCGGGCUUAACCUGGGAAUGGCCGUCGAAACUGGCGAACUGGAGUGUGGCAGAGGGGGGUGGAAUUCCGCGUGUAGCAGUGAAAUGCGUAGAGAUGCGGAGGAACACCGAUGGCGAAGGCAGCCCCCUGGGCUGACACUGACGCUGAGGCACGAAAGCGUGGGGAUCAAACAGG